rnacentral:rRNA from 1 species
UUGGACGCCGGCGGCAGGCCUAACACAUGCAAGUCGAGCGGAUGACGGGAGCUUGCUCCUUGAUUCAGCGGCGGACGGGUGAGUAAUGCCUAGGAAUCUGCCUGGUAGUGGGGGACAACGUUUCGAAAGGAACGCUAAUACCGCAUACGUCCUACGGGAGAAAGCAGGGGACCUUCGGGCCUUGCGCUAUCAGAUGAGCCUAGGUCGGAUUAGCUAGUUGGUGGGGUAAUGGCUCACCAAGGCGACGAUCCGUAACUGGUCUGAGAGGAUGAUCAGUCACACUGGAACUGAGACACGGUCCAGACUCCUACGGGAGGCAGCAGUGGGGAAUAUUGGACAAUGGGCGAAAGCCUGAUCCAGCCAUGCCGCGUGUGUGAAGAAGGUCUUCGGAUUGUAAAGCACUUUAAGUUGGGAGGAAGGGCAGUAAGUUAAUACCUUGCUGUUUUGACGUUACCGGCAGAAUAAGCACCGGCUAACUCUGUGCCAGCAGCCGCGGUAAAAC